GGGUGGUGAAUUUAAAGAUCGACUAAGCAUGUAGUACCAAUGAUGAAAGGUUUUCGGACGCGGGNACCCUGCUCAGAGCCCUUCCUCCCUAGCUUCCGCUUGUAAGACGGGGAAAUCAGGAAGGUCAAACCAAAUCAAGCUGGCGUGGAUUCCCCCACCUGAGGGAUGAAGCGCGAGAUCUAAUUCAGGUUAGCCAUUCGUUAGCGUGUCGGUUCGCAGGCGGUGGUGAAAUUAAAGAUCGACUAAGCAUGUAGUACCAAAGAUGAAUGGUUUUCGGACGGGGGUUCAACUCCCCCCAGCUCCACCA
rnacentral:tmRNA from 1 species